CCAGCCACACCAUAAAACAAUGCUUAGGAAUGCCUCCUUUAAUCCACACUGCUUUAGUCCAAGAAGUCAUCAGCAGUAGAUAUUGUCAGGCCAGAGAGGAAAGCAAGAAUGCUUACUUGAUUUUCAGACCUUGCCGGUGGCAGAAGCCAGUGACCAUUGUCAUACAAGCUUGCGAUGGUUGCAUCUUGUCUUAUACCAAGCCUAGUUCUUCUACCUCCUGUCAUGAGUUCACAAAUCUUUCCUUCCGGGUACCAGUUAUCUGUCCAGAAUCUGCAGUCUCUGCCACUCUCAAUCUUAAGUUUAAUCCAGAUUCCCUGACAGGAUUUCC